CUCGUCGUUGGGGGAAACCGCCCAAGUCCCAGGCUGCGGUGCCAGUCCUCCCUCUGGUGGUCGAGGAGCCGCUCCCACGAUUACAAGGCUCCCGCGGAGGGUUACUUCUUGUAGUCCCGAGACUCACUGGCUGAGAACAGGGAGGAGCCUGAGAGAUCACUGAUCCUGCCUAAACCCGGACCAGCCUCUCCACGCAUCCUCGCUUUACUGGCCCUAUGCUGGUUCUUGAGGACACACUGGUAACAAUAUACUGUCCCUAGCCUCAAAAGAAUUCACAAUCUAGCGGAGGAUUCCGCUAUGAAUCCUCCAAAUGAAUAAUUACAACCCAGCGAUAUAUGUUUUAAUGGGGGAAAUGGGAUGGUGUCAGCAAAGCAUCGCAGAGAGGUGUUAAAACUGAGAACUGAAGGACUAGGGCUUAGCCAGGAGUACAGGGAGCGUGGAGAAUGUCUUGCACUCUGGCUGGAGCACAGUGUGCAAGGGAUGGAAUAGAGAGACACCUGAGGAGGGAGGCAGGGCCGCAUCCUCAAACUCUUGUAAACUUCCAUAACAAAUUUGGAUCAUUCAGGCAGCUUCAAAACUUUCAGCGGCUUCCUGCUACCUACUGAAUGAGGUCCCAACUUAGCUUGGCCUUCAAGGUCCUCACCAACCUGGCCCCUCACCUACUUUCUCAGAAGCGUUGCUCAUGCUGUGCUGCAGUAGGGAUCGCCUCUCUUCUGCCCUGCCCCCAGCUACAUUUACCUCCUCACCCAUCUCCCGAUGUAACAGGUUCUCACUGUUACCACCACACUUUUACUCAUGGGCUUCCCUCCACUUAGUACUCUGCCCUGCCUGGUGGCCUGUCUAAUCCUGUUCUUCCUUUAAGAUUCCUCUAGGCCCUCCCUCUCCAUGCAGCUUCCCUGAUCCUUCCAGUGCCAAGGGGCCUCAGCACACUCAGUUGCUGGGAUAUUUGUGUGCACUUCUCAUUUGGGGGCUUACACCACCUUGUCCCAUCUCCUAGGUGGGAGGUCUUAGCUCUCCAAUAAACUGUGAGCUCUUUGAGGGCAGGCACUGAGCCCUACAGCUGAUCCCUCCACGCAACCACCCCACAUACCCUCAAAUCACCAGCAUCCAGAGUCUGGGCUUCAGACUACUUUAGGCUCAACUCUCCUCCUGACACACUGACGCCACCACCAUCCAUCCAGGAGCCGAGAUAAAGUCAUCUGGAGAGUGAUGGCAGCGCUGCACUGUGGUAAUUAAGCCCCAGAUUUAAUUAAAGCUGUAGUUGGUGGCAGUGGUGGCAGAACAUAAAAAUCUUAUGGCAGAUCAGAGAGUGACUCUCUUUGGCUAAUUAAUCAGUGCUGUGCAGCUGGCCCAGAACACUCAUGACUAACCAGAGUCCCUAGUCACGAAAGGGGCAACUGGGGGUGGUUUCUCUGUCUCCUACUCCUAGACCAGGCCACACUGGGGACAUUUGCUGGCCAAUGGCGUUUUAAACUUCCCAGGGACAGGGAUGUCACAGGCUCUUUUACCUCCUUUGUCACCGUUAGGAAGACCUGCCUUGGCCCAAACUUUUCCCUGUUGCGAAAUAAAAUACUUGCAUUCAAUUGCA